CGCUACCUCGCCCUUAUGGUGACAUUGAGACUUUGGCUGAUGCUAUGUCAAUGCCAGUCCAGUGGCCAUACAAAAGAUUAAAGCUUACAACGGCAUCACAUUCAUCCCAGUCUACUGUAGGUUGUCCUGCUCCUGCAAGGUCCUAGGCAACGUACCUGCUGGUGUCCACAAGUUAAAAGUGCUC